rnacentral:rRNA from 1 species
GACGAACGCUGGCGGCGUGGAUUAGGCAUGCAAGUCGAACGGUAUCAUCCUUUCGGGGGUGAGAGAGUGGCGAACUGGUGAGUAACACGUAGGUUAUCUACCCUCAAGACGGGGACAACCCAGGGAAACUUGGGCUAAUACCGGAUGUGAGCAACUUUUAGUUGUUUGAAAGGUGGCGUAAGCUGUCGCUUGGGGAUGAGCCUGCGUCCUAUUAGUUAGUUGGUGAGGUAACGGCUCACCUAGGCAAUGAUAGGUAGGCGGCCUUAACGGGUGGUCGCCCACACUGGGAUUGAGAUACGGCCCAGACUCCUACGGGAGGCAGCAGUCGAGAAUAGUCUACAAUGGUCGGAAGACUGAUAGUGCGACGCCGCGUGAACGAUGAAUCCCUUCGGGUGUAAAGUUCUUUUAUAUGUGAGCAGUGCUUCUUAUAUUAACAGUAUGGGGAGAGAGAUAUUAGCAUAUGAAUAAGCAACGGCUAACUCCGUGCCAGCAGCCGCGGUAAU